UACGAAGGGGGCUAGCGUUGCUCGGAAUCACUGGGCGUAAAGCGCACGUAGGCGGAUUGUUAAGUCAGGGGUGAAAUCCUGGAGCUCAACUCCAGAACUGCCUUUGAUACUGGGGAUCUCGAGUCCGGGAGAGGUGAGUGGAACUGCGAGUGUAGAGGUGAAAUUCGUAGAUAUUCGCAAGAACACCAGUGGCGAAGGCGGCUCACUGGCCCGGUACUGACGCUGAGGUGCGAAAGCGUGGG
rnacentral:rRNA from 1 species